GAUGAAGAACGCAGCGAAAUGCGAUAAGUAAUGUGAAUUGCAGAAUUCAGUGAAUCAUCGAAUCUUUGAACGCACCUUGCGCCCUUUGGCUAUUCCGAAGGGCAUGCCUGUUUGAGUAUCAUGAACACCUCAACCCUCAUGGUUUGCCAUGAUGGGCUUGGACUUUGUGGGUCUUGCUGGAUUGUAGUCAGCUCCCCUUAAAUGAAUCAGCUUGCCAGUGUUUGGUGGCAUCACAGGUGUGAUAAAUAUCUACGCUUGUGGUUUUACAUCAGAUAACCUUCAGUGAUGGAGAUUCACUGGAGCUCAUAAAGGUGUCUCUCCUCUGUGAGGACAGCUCUUUGAAUGUUUGAUCUCAAAUCAGGCAGGACUACCCGCUGAACUUAAGCAUAUCAAUAAGCGGAGGA
rnacentral:misc_RNA from 1 species